UUGGAUGGCACCAUUUCUGCUCUCAAACAGUUUAAAAGAUCCCUGUGCAGAAAAAGACGUAUUUAGAACAUUUUGGUUGGUAAGGUGAUAUGUAACAAACUUGAGAUCUUAUAGGAUAGGAGAACACUAGGACACUAAUUAGGAACUGGUCCCAGGAACAAAGACCUUCUGGACUCAUCUGACAAGAUAAGAAUCAUCAAGCAUUCUUCCAGCAGAAAGUGACAAAGCCCUCCUUGAGCUGCUCAUGAGAAUUCACAAAUUUUUCAGAUAAAAGAUGCCUAUUUUAUUCUGGCUGAAAGCAUGAACAGAAUAAACAAUGAGCUCUGUGAAGAAUGUUCUAUGAACCCGAAUCAAACUCAAACUCCUGUGUCACUCCGGUACGCCUGAUCACUGGAUAUAACCACGUAUUGGUCCAGAACCUCCCUCUCUGUUACUACUCCCUUUGGAUUUAUCCAGUAGUCUUAGACGUCACCAGGGCCAAGCCAUGCAUAUAUAGAUUGAAAUGUUGUUUUCAAAACCUACUCAAGCUAUCUCUUGAUGAACAAGAUUAGUACCAUCUGAUUACAACCCUGAAGAGUCUAGAUUCCUUAUUCUGCAAAAUGGAUUUAUUGUAUCUCAAGGCACUGUGAAGUUUGCAGUAGCAUGUAUAGGCAAAAAGGAAAGUCCAAAGAGAGGAAAAGAAAGCAGGAGAGAUCUGAAAUGACACAAGAAGUGACUCAGAAUGGGAAGAUUGUGCACUCCUUGUUGUCCCCUAAUGCACAUGGAAGUAUGCAACAGAAGCUGUGAAAAUAACCCAGAGAGAAAGAAAAAAAUGAUGUAAAUUUAAACAUAGCAUAUUCUGGAAACAGUAUGCUUAUGGAACAGCCAGAGAGAUUUUCAAAACUUGAUCAUCUAAAUGCAGAGAACAGUUUCAAGGCUCUUUCUCACUUUCUCAUUUGAUUCCUGCAAUUGAAGCCAUCUGCUAUGCUGUGUCCUGUUCUUUGGAUCAGCACAUAUGACAAGGAAGUGAAAGUAGUCUCUGUCCAACAAUCAGUCUAACAGCCUGAGAAGAACUGAAUUCUGUCAAUGACCACGUAAGCUUCGAAGCAGACCUUUCGCUUGUUGAGCCUUCAGAUAGACAGCAGCCCUAGCUGACAUCUUAACUGCAGUCUUGUGACAGGUCCUCAGACAGGAUAAGCCAAAUUAUACCCAGACUGCUGAUCCACAGAAAAUGAGAGAGCCAGACAAUUAUGCAUUUCUUUAGUCAACAACUAGCUGCUAAUUAUUUACUAUGUGUCAAGUCUUAUAAUGCUGAAGUGAAGAAAAGAGAUUUAAAGUCAUGGAUGUGGUUUCCUUUGGACCUUAAAUUCUAGCACAAAAUAUGAUAAACAUUGUAAUCAAUGCUAUCAUGUACAGGUAUGUGGUGUUAUGUGAAUAUAUGGGAAUACCUAAUUCGUAAACUGGGUUUAGAAAAUUCUUGCAGAAGAAAGUGGCAUCCAAACAAAGAACCAAGAACGAAUAAAAAUUAUUAUAGAUAAAGUGAAGCGGGUCUAGUGGAAUGACAAAAUUACUGAGUGUCAAGAGGUGGAAGGACUUGGUGAAUAAUUUGAAAAGGAACCAUCGGAGGAUGAUGGCCACAUUUCUGGCUCCAGCCAUCAGUAUGAACUUAUGGUUGAAGGCAUUCUCAGGGGUUAACAAGAAUUCUGGACAGAAAUAUGGCUAUAAUGACAUGGAGGCCAGCUUAUACAGAUGGCAAAAUCACAAGAUUGAAAGAUACUGAAUCAUUGAGUCACUACCUUGUAGAGACCUAUUCAGGAAAACAGGCUGGCAUCAGACCAACCAGUUUGAGUAUGAAACUUCAAAUAGCCA
rnacentral:lncRNA from 1 species